AACGAACGCUGGCGGCAGGCUUAACACAUGCAAGUCGAACGCCCCGCAAGGGGAGUGGCAGACGGGUGAGUAACACGUGGGAACGUGCCCUUAGGUUCGGAAUAUUCCCGGGAAACUGGGAGCAAUACCGAACGUGUCCGAGAGGAGAAAGAUUUAUCGCCUUAGGAUCGGCCCGCGUCGGAUUAGCUAGUUGGUGGGGUAAUGGCCUACCAAGGCGACGAUCCGUAGCUGGUCUGAGAGGACGACCAGCCACACUGGGACUGAGACACGGCCCAGACUCCUACGGGAGGCAGCAGUGGGGAAUCUUGGACAAUGGGCGCAAGCCUGAUCCAGCCAUGCCGCGUGGAUGAUGAAGGCCUUAGGGUUGUAAAAUCCUUUCGCCGAGGAAGAUAAUGACGGUACUCGGAGAAGAAGCUCCGGCUAACUUCGUGCCAGCCGCCGCUGUAA
rnacentral:rRNA from 1 species